GUGCCAGCCGCCGCGGUAAUACCGGCAGCCCAAGUGAUGGCCGCUGUUAUUGGGCCUAAAGCGUCCGUAGCUGGCCGCACAAGUCCAUCGGAAAAUCCGCCCGCUCAACGGGUGGGCGUCCGGUGGAAACUGUGUGGCUUGGGACCGGAAGGCGCGACGGGUACGUCCGGGGUAGGAGUGAAAUCCCGUAAUCCCGGACGGACUACCGAUGGCGAAAGCACUCUGAGAAGACGGCUUCGACAGUGAGGGACGAAAGCUCGGGUCUCAAACCGGAUUAGAUACCCUGGUAGUC
rnacentral:rRNA from 1 species